GACGAGAGGUUCAGGUGUUAUUCAUGUUGAUUGGGUGUAAAGGGUAUGUAGACGGUUUUUAGUUCUUUGGCAAAAAAAGCGGAGAGUUCCUACGCGAAGGGCCUUUGAUAACGAGAACUUGGGUUGACUCGGAGGUUUGGGCAAUUUUGUGCGUAUUGGUUUAAUGAACUGCAUACACAAAGGAACGUCUGCGGCGAAGGCUCCUUUCCACGGUCAUCUGACGUUGAGGUACGGAGGCUUGGGGAUCAAACAGG
rnacentral:rRNA from 1 species